rnacentral:rRNA from 1 species
CUCUCGUCCACCAACAAGACACAGACUCCAUUUUUGCGCCAAAAACUCAGAGUUAAGCACCACCCCACCUCACACACUUGCCAUGGCCGUACAUAGUUGUGUUUUGAUUCCAUCCAGCUCUCAGCCACCCCGUUCCUCGUGGCCGGCGAGCAAUCUCCUCAGCUCUUCUUUUCCCAUCUAGUUUGAUGCUGGGACAACGGGUGCCCACAAAUGUUGUGACCGUAGUCAGCGUUCGCUGGAACUAGCCCGUAGAUUUGCUACCAUCGACAGUCAUCAAUUUUUUCGCUCGACCCCAACAUCGACGUUUAGCUACGAACUGGCCAGCACCUUGCUGGAACCAGUGUCGUCAUUUGCUACAACUGGCUAGGCGGCGUGCUGGAAGCAGUGUUCAUCGGUGCUGGAACAGGAUGAGCCCCUCGCCGUCGACGAUUUUUUUGCUGGAACCUGCUAGUUUGUUUGCUACAAUCUUUUUCUUUGAAGUUUGCUGAUGUGACUUUCUUUGUUGCAUUUGGUGUUAAUUUUAGCUGGAACGGACUUUUUUUUGCUUCAACUGACAAUUAGAAGUUUUUGCUACUGAGAUUUUUUGCUGGAUCAGUCGCUUUUGUUUUGUUACAACUGGUAUUUUUUUAGCUGGAACCGACUAAAUGUUUUGCUUCAACUAAACAUUUUGGUUUUGCUACAAACUUUUUGCUGGAACACGACGAUGCUAGUGAUGGUGCGGCGAGCCGGAGCUGAUGGUGGGAGAGUUCUUGUUACAACCAUGGCUGCGGUGCACUGGAACCGGUCAACAGCUGAAGCUUCCACACAACGAGGCGUCCAUGAGAAGAGGGACAGCAAGCUGGCAGCGGCGCUAGUGCUGCAGGGGCCGACGACGCUGACGACUGCCAGAUCUAGCGAAGGAGCAGCCCGACAGAGGAGGCGUGGUGCGGGGCGGCGAGGUGCGGAGUCGCGGUGGCAAUUUGGACUGGUGGGGCGGGGGUACUGCAACCGUGAACCUAACUUGCUGGAACCGGCGAGAAGAUUUGCUAGAACCAGCAACCAAAAAUGCUACUACUGGAGUUCAUCCUCAGGGCGUUGCUACGACCACAUCCUGUUUUUGCUACCACCGGCGUUUUCUUUUGCUACAUGCAUGCACGGCGGUGUUGGUUGACAGUGGCAAUGUCUUUUUGUUUUGCUGCAGCCGUCUUAGAGUUUUGCUGGAACCAGUGUACAAUUUUGCUGGAACGAGCUUUUUCUUUUUUCGACGGUGACCAUGGCGACCACGGGGCGUGAGCUGACUUGCUGCAACCGGCAAACCAUAAGCUGCCACUUUUGAGCUGAUUUGUUACGAUGCGGAAUCAAAUGCUACUACCGGCAAACAGAAAAGCUAGAACCGGCGAUUCAGAAGAUCCAUUGACAGAAGAAAAUGUUUCAACCGGCAAACUAAAAAGCUGGAACCAGCAGAAUCAAUUGCUACUACGGGCAAAACAGAAAGGAUGGUGCUAGCUAAAACUGGUGAGUCAGUGCUGCGAUGGAUGUGCCCAUGCCGGCGUGGACGCGUGACCGGCGAGACGGCGUGCUGGGACUGGGAGUCUCUUUUUGCUGCAACUAGCAGGGAGCGGGGCUUCCAUGGGGAGCCGUAGUACCCAAGAUGGCUGGCCAGAUGUAGAAGCUAGGACCGGUGGCAAGCAGCGGAGGGCAGCGCUGCGAGGCGUCGGGUGCGAGCAGCCGGCGGCUGUGCCCUUGCCGGAGCCGCGUACGGGGGUGGAGUUGCGUGCUGAUGAGGCGGGGGGAUUUUUUCCAUGCGCACGGGAUGAGCUGCACCCUGCAAGUUGUGAAAGAAGAUAAGAAUCUGACGGUCGUUGCUAAUCUAAUCGGAGGGCUGCUAGGCGACCGGCCCAAAUUUGGGCCGGCGCACCGGCGCAGAGUGCUGCCCU